GAUGGGUUCUGAGUGCAGUCGAC
rnacentral:piRNA from 1 species